CUGUAUAGUUGGAGUGUCCCUUCACUACUUGGCACUGGGAAGUUCAAAUUCAAAAAUGAUUCCACAGAAUGAUCUCUAGCUCACGGUACGGGGCAGUCAUCAGACCUGCCCUAUGAGUACAAUUAAGGAAGUCAGAUCACACCCUACAGCCAUUAGUUUUUCCAUUUCCCCGUUGAGUGACCUGCUGGUCUUCACUUGUUUAUUCUUUGAAAGAGUUCUACAAUGCUGAGGGGAAUUGCUAAAAU